CACGUAGGGCGCGAGCGUUGUCCGGAAUUAUUGGGCGUAAAGCGCACGUAGGCGGCUUUUUAAGUCAGAGGUGAAAUCCUGGAGCUCAACUCCAGAACUGCCUUUGAUACUGGAGAGCUUGAGUCCGGGAGAGGUGAGUGGAACUGCGAGUGUAGAGGUGAAAUUCGUAGAUAUUCGCAAGAACACCAGUGGCGAAGGCGGCUCACUGGCCCGGUACUGACGCUGAGGUGCGAAAGCGUGGGGAGCAAACAGG
rnacentral:rRNA from 1 species